rnacentral:rRNA from 1 species
AGUGAACGCUGGCGGUAGGCCUAACACAUGCAAGUCGAACGGCAGCACAGUAAGAGCUUGCUCUUACGGGUGGCGAGUGGCGGACGGGUGAGGAAUAUAUCGGAAUCUACUUUUUCGUGGGGGAUAACGUAGGGAAACUUACGCUAAUACCGCAUACGACCCACGGGUGAAAGCAGGGGAUCUUCGGACCUUGCGCGAUUGAAUGAGCCGAUGUCGGAUUAGCUAGUUGGCGGGGUAAAGGCCCACCAAGGCGACGAUCCGUAGCUGGUCUGAGAGGAUGGUCGGCCACACGAGAACUGAGACACGGUCCAGACGCCUACGGGAGGCAGCAGUGGGGAAUGUUAGACAAUGGGCGCAAGCCUGAUCCAGCCAUACCGCGUGGGUGAAGAAGGCCUUCGGGUUGUAAAGCCCUUUUGUUGGGAGAGAAAAGCAGCAGGUUAAUACCCCGCUGUUCUGACGGUACCCAAAGAAUAAGCACCGGCUAACUUCGUG